UCCUUGGCGAUUUCCAAUAUCACAGAAUCCACAGCAGUCGUCAAUCGAACCAAGGGAGACAACUUUGCUCAACACAAAUUCGAGUCCAGGGGAAGCAAGAAGGCGUCUCUUUUGCUCAACACCCGGGUUAUCUUCUCGAUCAGAGUCUGAUGUUGACGACGCCCUGACGUGCACCAUUCUCAACUAUCUGGUCAAAAAGAACAUUCUCACCCCGGAAGAUUCAGCGCGCCUGCGCCAAAACGCAAGGGGAAGUAAUCAGACAUUUCCGGAUUUAGGGCGCACAUGUAGCACGCCUACGAAGU